rnacentral:lncRNA from 13 species
GUCAUCACUUGACCGUAUUAACUGGGGCUAACAGUCCUUCUAAUUGCCACAGCCCCACCAGCUUCUAGGUGGUAAUGGCCCAGCCGGUUUAAAUGGGUCUCCAUGGUUACACUCAUGCUCUGGUUUCCAUGGUUACAUUUCCCAGUCUCUCAUAGGACUUAGAUAUAUAUUUGAAAUUUAAAAGGAUUUUUUUUUCUUUCUUAUCUGCCUACACAGAAAUCUAGGGUUCAAAGGUCCAGGAUGAAAGUUUCAGUGACCUCUUGGGAGGUUACCAAGGAGAAAUACGGAUAAUGUUUGUGACAGCUGUGAUCCGUCAUGGCCUGAGGAAGAGAGCACUCAACUGGGAAAUACUGUGGAGCUAGAAUGAGAACCUCAUGACAAGCCUUAGUGUUUUGCUUCAUUAGAGAAGGUGAAAAACUGGAGUGAGAAAACAAUAUCCGAUUGUUUGGAUGCUCGGCUCCCAGGGCUAGGAGUAGGAUGCUGUCCGGAGGUGGGGGCGGGGACUCUCUAUUGAAGUCCCUUUAAGAUGCUCAUUCAUUUCAUUACCGUAACAGUGUUGUGACCUCCCUGCAUUCAUUCCUCUGCAGCCCUCAUUUCAAAUCAUCUUUCUUGGCUUGCUCGGCUAAACCAGGCGUCUGUUAACAAGGUACCAGCCGGGAUCAAGACUCGGUUGGCUCCAGCUUGGCUUGGCGGAGGAAGACAGGUGGAACUCUAGUGCCUCCUUGUGGAAUCUCUGACAUUUCCAGGUCUACCUCACCAAGAACAGAACGCAAGGAAACAUGGUGCACUGAGGCUGAGAACUGCAGAGCGGCUGAGGAAUCCAGUGGCCCACCAACGUCCUCAACCAACGAUAAUCAUCAGCCAGGAGUUGCUAACUCUAGGGCCCUUGGGCCUGAAGUUACGGUGAAUCUGGUUUCCACUUUGGCUAACCUCUUUCCAAGCCUCCUGUCACUGGACAUCUCAUAGCCAAGAAACACAAUUAAUUGGCAGCGUCAGGCAGGCUUCCUUGCUAUUGAUUGGGCUGGAGCUGAUUAUCCUUCAUAUUUUUUUCAUUGCCCUUUCUUCUUAUAUAUAUUUUUAAGAUGGAAAGGCUAAAGAAAUCACUUUGAAUUGUACUCUGAUUUAUAAGUUGCAGCAGAAUGUGGUGAAUAAACUGUGACAGCUCAUUUCUCA